GGAAGAAUCACAAUGACUUCUCUCCCAGGAGCUGGCCUCCCCCUGGGGACUGGAGGACUUUCCAGCUGGAUGGAGACAAGACGAGGAGACAGGGAAGCCAUGUCUGUCUUCAGCUUCCAGCCACGCCACCUCUCCUGUUGCCACAUCAGGAGGAGAAAACCACUGGAAAUACACACAAGGCAUUCAUGCACAGGAAAGAACAGACAGAGGCUCUGAUCUCUAGAAUCACCUGUCCACAAAGGUUGGAUGAACAUGAGGGGAGGACAGACAGACAUCAGGCCAAGAAGGAGGUUCUG